rnacentral:rRNA from 1 species
AGAGUUUGAUCAUGGCUCAGAUUGAACGCUGGCGGCAGGCCUAACACAUGCAAGUCGAACGGUAGCACAGAGAGCUUGCUCUCGGGUGACGAGUGGCGGACGGGUGAGUAAUGUCUGGGAAACUGCCUGAUGGAGGGGGAUAACUACUGGAAACGGUAGCUAAUACCGCAUAACGUCGCAAGACCAAAGAGGGGGACCUUCGGGCCUCUUGCCAUCAGAUGUGCCCAGAUGGGAUUAGCUAGUAGGUGGGGUAACGGCUCACCUAGGCGACGAUCCCUAGCUGGUCUGAGAGGAUGACCAGCCACACUGGAACUGAGACACGGUCCAGACUCCUACGGGAGGCAGCAGUGGGGAAUAUUGCACAAUGGGCGCAAGCCUGAUGCAGCCAUGCCGCGUGUAUGAAGAAGGCCUUCGGGUUGUAAAGUACUUUCAGCGGGGAGGAAGGUGUUGUGGUUAAUAACCACAGCAAUUGACGUUACCCGCAGAAGAAGCACCGGCUAACUCCGUGCCAGCAGCCGCGGUAAUACGGAGGGUGCAAGCGUUAAUCGGAAGUACUGGGCGUAAAGCGCACGCAGGCGGUCUGUCAAGUCGGAUGUGAAAUCCCCGGGCUCAACCUGGGAACUGCAUUCGAAACUGGCAGGCUGGAGUCUUGUAGAGGGGGGUAGAAUUCCAGGUGUAGCGGUGAAAUGCGUAGAGAUCUGGAGGAAUACCGGUGGCGAAGGCGGCCCCCCUGGACAAAGACUGAC